UGGCGGACGGGUGAGUAACGCGUGGGUAACCUGCCUCACACUGGGGGAUAACAGUUAGAAAUAGCUGCUAAUACCGCAUAAGCGCACAGUUCCGCAUGGAACAGUGUGAAAAACUCCGGUGGUGCGAGAUGGACCCGCGUCUGAUUAGCCAGUUGGCGGGGUAACGGCCCACCAAAGCGACGAUCAGUAGCCGGCCUGAGAGGGUGAACGGCCACAUUGGGACUGAGACACGGCCCAAACUCCUACGGGAGGCAGCAUG
rnacentral:rRNA from 1 species